ACAUCCAGAGAAUUUAGCAGAGAUGCUUUAGUGCCUUCGGGAACUCUGAGACAGGUGCUGCAUGGCUGUCGUCAGCUCGUGUUGUGAAAUGUUGGGUUAAGUCCCGNAACGAGCGCAACCCUUAUCCCUUUGUUGCCAGCACGUAAUGGUGGGAACUCAAAGGAGACUGCCGGUGAUAAACCGGAGGAAGGUGGGGAUGACGUCAAGUCAUCAUGGCCCCUACGAGUAGGGCUACACACGUGCUACAAUGGCGCAUACAAAGAGAAGCGACCUCGCGAGAGCAAGCGGACCUCAUAAAGUGCGUCGUAGUCCGGAUUGGAGUCUGCAACUCGACUCCAUGAAGUCGGAAUCGCUAGUAAUCGUAAAUCAGAAUGUUACGGUGAAUACGUUCCCGGGCCUUGUACACACCGCCCGUCACACCAUGGGAGUGGGUUGCAAAAGAAGUAGAUAGCUUAACCUUCGGGAGGGCGUUUACCACUUUGUGAUUCAUGACUGGGGUGAAGUCGUAACAAGGUAAGCGUAGUGCU
rnacentral:rRNA from 1 species